UCAAACUUGGUCUUCUCUUACAUCAAUUUCCUGAGCAUUGGGAUUGCAAAUGUGUGACACCAUUCCAGACUUCAAUGUCCAUUUUUAAUAAGAUUAAAAGGUGAAAUGGUGACUAGAGAAAAUUGACCGCAUUUCAAGGAAAUGGCCCAAAGUGACUGAGGAAGUCUUUUCAACCUUGCAAACUGCCAAAGAAUUUUAAAAGAGUUGAACAUCAAAAGAGGAGGAAAAAUAUGUUAUAAUUACAAGCUUACUGAAGUCAACAUUAUAAUUAGGGAAGAAGAUAUCAAAUAAAUUUUCUCCUUCCAAAACAAACAUUAAUGAAGUAUUUCUAUCUACCUCAAAUAUUUGCCAGCAAAGGAUCCUGCCAUGAAGUCCCAGUGCAUCAAAGGAACUAGUGCAAAUCAACAGGUAUUGCAAAAGGAAAGGUUGGUGUAUUCUGGGACUUCAAAAACCGAACCAAUACCCAUUUCUUUGUAGAUUGUCUUACACCCAAUUACACUUGUGCAGCACUAUUUUUUCAAUAAAAUCAGGUAUUUCUUUGUU
rnacentral:lncRNA from 1 species